rnacentral:rRNA from 1 species
GGAUGGGGGCUAAAUGCAGUCGAGCGGUACAUUUCUAGCUUGCUAAAAAUGAACAACCGCCGAACGGGUCAAUUAAUGCUUGGAAACAUUCCUUUAGGGGGGGGACAACAUUUGGAAACAACGGCUAAUACCGCAAAAUGUCUACGGACCAAAGGGGGCUUCGGCUCUCCCCUUUAGAUGGGCCCAAGUGGGAUUACCUAGUUGGUGAGGUAACGGCUCACCAAGGCAACAAUCCCUAGCUGGUUUGAAAGGAUAGAUCAGCCACACUGGAACUGAAACACGGUCCACACUCCUACGGGAGGCAGCAGUGGGAAAUAUUGCACAAUGGGCACAAGCCAGAUGCACCCAUGCCGCGUGUGUGAAAAAGGCCUUCGGUUUGUAAAGCACUUUCAAUAAAGAAGAAAGGUUGGUGGUUAAUACCCAUCAGCUGUGACGUUACUUACAGAAGAAGCACCGACUAACUCCGUGCCAGCAGCCGCAAUAAUACGGAUGGUGCGAGC